UGAGGAUCCAGGAGUGCUCUGUGGACCUAACAGGGAUAAACUUCCUGUUCUUGGGACAGAAAAGGCUUGGCCACUGGCACAGAGGCUCCUCAGGUACACAGAGGUUGGUGCUCAAAGUCAGCCAGGCCUGACUUGAUGUCUGAACGUAUGUGGUUAAACUUCAGCCAGGCCUCCUCCUAGGGGGAAGAGAUGGGUCUGAGACCUUUCCGAGCAACAGGAUCCAGUCAGGAUUGAGGUUAGUCACAAGAGCUUUCAAGUCUCUGGUGUUAAACUAACCUGAGGCAUAUCCUGUCACACAGAAAAGGGGGAUAGUGAGGCUGAAGAGAUGGCUCAGUGGUUAAGAGAACUUGUUUCUCUCACAAUAGACCCAGAGUUGGUUCCCAGCACACACAUGGUGUCUCAUGACUGUCAGUAACUCCAGUUCCAGGGGAAUCUGAUGUCUUCUUCUAAAACCUCAGUGGGUACCAGGCAUGCACAUGGUGCACAUAUAUACAUGCAGGCAAAAGACUCACAUACAAGUAAAACUGAUAAAACUUAAAAAAGUUAAAAGAAAAAAAAAAACUAGAGUAAUGAAACUUCAGAAGACUGCCGGCAUUCAGAAAUAAAACCCUCAAAAACAUUUGAAUUAAGGGUAGGAAUUAUGAGAACCCGGUUCAAACAGCUCUAGCCUGGCCAUAAAGCUCAGUUGAAGGAUUUCUUCAAGUUUCUGUGUCUCAUACAGGAGGAAAUCCAAAGCACAUUAUCUGGUCCCCAAGGGGAAGAGACACUGCUGGAGGAGAUCUGCUCCGCAUGGCAGACAAGCACUAACCUGGUGCUGGGAGCAGGCCAACUUCCUGCCUGUCUCCAACAAGCGGCUUGAUAGAGCGCGGAAGAGGAAUAUCAAGUAAGGGCCGGGGGCCAGAAACUGGCAGCAGAGGAGGAGGCUUGCUCACAAUGGGGGUGAUCUGGCCCUGAAAUGAGGCAGGCAUGCUGCUGGCUGAUGGAUCCGGAGCCUUGAAUGCUGGAAAAGUAAAAGGAAUCAAUGGUUAGCAGAGGCCUGCAGUUCAGGCCAGUGAGCCUUUCGGGCUAUUCAAGAAAGUUUCACUUCUGCAUACUCAAGAAAGCCUUCUUUCCUUUUACUGAUUUACAAGGUUCUAAAACGAAAAGAAGCAGAACCGUCAUGUUUUAACUUUACAGGUUCCACCCACCCUGAGAAAACACGCUGAACAGAUGUGAUGUAGACCCCAAUGGGAUAAGAGGACCAGACCUUUUCUCCAGUAAGAUAAGGCCACGAAGAAAUACAUGGAUUAUUAGAAAAUGGGUGAAUAAUUAAGACUGAGCUAGUAAGUAAGAAGCCUUAGCCAACAGCCAACAUCUUAAUAACAAAUACAGCAUCUGUGUGUUUCUUUGGGGCAGAGAAGGGUGGUGGGACCCUAGCAGCCUCAGAGGAAAAGUCAUACCCUCAAUGGUUGGGUAAUGCUGCUCCCUAAAGCUACCAGUUAUGAAACACAAGUCCCAGUGUUAGGUGUGGGAUACCUCCCUGUGUGCUAUUGGUUGGGGAGUUUCCAGAGGCUCCCAAAGGGAUACAGAUCACUGCCACUUCUCUUGGCUGCCUAGCAGUUAAGGUUCUACUGCUGUGGACAUACACUGUUGUGUACUGCAGGAUGCAGAGAAAUCAAGCUAGUACAGACCUUGAUGGCUACCUUCCACAGAGCUAGAGGCUGGUGGGAUAAAGUCAGCAGCAGUCUUACCCAGUCAUGGACACUUGCCUGACCAGCCAGGCAAGAUGUGCUCACCCAUACUACUAGAGCGGCUUGAAGGUUUUAGGGUAACCAACUGCUUGAUGAUUGGAUUUGAGACCAGCUCUACUGGAAGGAAUUCAUGACUGAUACUGUAAACAUGGUCAAAAACCCAUGGUGCUGGCUGGGAGGGCAUAGGCCUUAGAGAAAACCUGUUGUUUGGCUAAAUGGACACGUUGUCAAACUGCCUUCUGAAUGUUUACAUUUAUACUCAUCGUUAGUGCUGUUCUCAGUCUUACAUGGAGAAGCUUUAGUUAAUGCAACCACUCAAAACUGGUGAAGAUGAAGGUGGUGAGAAUGAGUGAGUGUGGUUGCUCAGCCCUAAAUGGGACAUCUCUGUAUCAAUCCUCCCACCCAUCCCUCAGGCUCAGGUAGAGUCAUGGAGGAGGGGGAAGAAAGAAGGGAAGAGCCGGAGGAAGGGAAAUAGUGUUGUGUAGUGCUGUCUUCUCAACACAACAUGGCUUUUGCACUCACAGAUGCAUAGGAGAUAGAUAUGGUUACCCAAACAAGACUGGACCUGUCAACGUUCUAUCUUGGAUUGAGGAGAGGCUCAUGAGGUCCCAACACUUCCCUGAGGAGCUAUGGGCAGUUAAUGGCUGCUGGAGAGGAAGGGAGCCAUUUUAUUUCAGUAGUAUAGCCACUAGUGAGUUGCUUGUACUCCAAUAAAUAAUCCCACACUCAUGCUUAGGCAAACAACCCUAAUCAGACUCAUCAAGGCACAAAACCAGUCAUGAAAGCAGGCAGGGGUCUUGCUGAGAGAAAGAUAAGUUCAACAAGACAGACGAGGGGAAGAGAGGGUAAUGAGGUAUACACGAUCAGAAUUCAUUAUGUACAUGCAUGAUAUUACCAAAGAGUAAGUCAAAAAAUGUAUUUUAGGGCCAGUCAAUUGAUAGCUCAGCCAUUAAAGAUGUUUGCCACCAAGCCUGAUAACCGGGAUUUAAUCACUUAGACCCACAUGGUAGAAAAAAAAACAUUUAAACAUCUGAUUCAAAAGAAACUUUAACCUCAAAAGAAACAUUUUAGUCUAUAAAGAUUAGAAGCUUAAGAGUGCUUUGUAUGAAACCCAUGCAGACCAUCCUUUUGUAUCACCCACACACUCACACACACACAAAGAUUAGAAGCUUAAGAGUGCUUUGUAUGAAACCCAUGCAGAUCAUCCUUUUGUAUCAUACACACACUCUCUCUCUCUCUCUCUCUCUCUCUCUCUCUCUCU